GGGGAAUAUUGCACAAUGGGGGAAACCUUGAUGCAGCAACGCCGCGUGAGUGAAGGAGGCCUUCGGGUUGUAAAGCUCUGUUAUACGGGAAGAUAAUGACUGUACCGUAUGAGGAAGCCACGGCUAACUACGUGCCAGCAGCCGCGGUAAUACGUAGGUGGCGAGCGUUGUCCGGAUUUACUGGGCGUAAAGGAUGCGUAGGCGGAUAAUUAAGUGAGAUGUGAAAUACCCGGGCUUAACCUGGGGGGUGCAUUUCAAACUGGUCGUCUAGAGUACAGGAGAGGAAAGUGGAAUUUCUAGUGUAGCGGUGAAAUGCGUAGAGAUCGGUAGGAACACCAGUGGCGAAAGCGGCCUGCUGGGCUUUAACUGACGCUGAGGCACGAAAGCGUGGGGAGCGAAC
rnacentral:rRNA from 1 species